AUGCUUCUCCUAAAGACUAAGCCAUGCAUGCCUUCGAAUAAGAGGAAGCAAUUCUCUCUGAAUCUGCGAACGGCUCCGCAAACCAGUUGUAAACUAUAGCAAGCAAGCCCGGGUCCCUCGGGGCUCGGGCAACACGGAUAACCCUGGUAAUUCUGAGGCUAAUACGAGAAAGUACUACCUGGUCGGCCGGGCAACCGGUCGGUCGGGAUGUGUGCGAUCUUCCGCUGAAUUUUUACCGGGAAUGGGCG
rnacentral:rRNA from 1 species